rnacentral:rRNA from 1 species
AACUCCGGCAGUGGCGGACGGGUGAGUAACGCGUAGGCAUCUAUCCUUGGGUGGGGGACAACCGUGGGAAACUACGGCUAAUACCGCAUGACGACUGAGGUCCAAAGCUCGCAAGAGCGCCUGGGGCGGAGCCUGCGUCCGAUUAGCUUGUUGGUGGGGUAAAGGCCUACCAAGGCGAUGAUCGGUAGCUGGUCUGAGAGGAUGAUCAGCCACACUGGGACUGAGACACGGCCCAGACUCCUACGGGAGGCAGCAGUGGGGAAUAUUGGACAAUGGGCGCAAGCCUGAUCCAGCAAUGCCGCGUGGGUGAAGAAGGUCUUCGGA